rnacentral:rRNA from 1 species
UACGUAGGUGACAAGCGUUGUCCGGAUUUACUGGGCGUAAAGAGCGCGCAGGCGGUCGUUCAAGUCGAGUGUGAAAGCCCCCGGCUCAACUGGGGAGGGUCACUCGAUACUGAUCGACUUGAAGGCAGGAGAGGGAAGCGGAAUUCCCGGUGUAGUGGUGAAAUGCGUAGAUAUCGGGAGGAACACCGGUGGCGAAGGCGGCCUUCUGGACAGUGACUGACGCUGAGACGCGAAAGCGUGGGGAGCAAACAGG